GGUGUGGCUUCGCUCAGUGGGCGUGGCCUUAAACUGGAAUCUUGGCAAGGGGCGUGGCCUCAAAACCAUUAUUAUAAUGAGGGGGCGUGGUCUCACACGGGGUUCUAAGGGGGCGUGACCCCAAAUUUGCAUUUUUGAUGGGGCGUGGCUACAAACACACGGGGUAUCUGGAAAGGGCGUGGCCUCGGUCUGAUGUCAAAAAGGGGGCGUGGCCUCAACAUAAUGAACUGGGAGUGGCCUCAAUUUCCCGGGUUUUUAGUGGGCGUGGCCUCCCCCCGGUGUUUGUUGUGGGCGUGGCCUCACUUUCCUGGGGGAUUCUUAGUGGACGUGGCCUCACUCUCCUGGAAUGUUUUUUGUGGGCGUGGUCUCAUUUCCCCAGGAUAAUUUUUGUGGGCGUGGCCUCAUUAUCCUGGAAUAUUUUUUGUGGGUGUGGUCUCAUUUCCCGGGGUUUUUGGUGGGCGUGGCCUCAUUUCCUCAGUAUUUUUAUGGGCGUGGUCUCAUUUCCGGGUUUUUCCUGUGGGCGUGGUCUCAUUUCCCAGGUUUUAUUUCCUGUGGGCGUGGCCUCAUUUCCCAGGUUUUUUUUGUGGGCGU
rnacentral:lncRNA from 12 species